UAUUUCACGGCCGCGGUACCCUAACCGUGCAAAGGUAGCACAAUCACUUGUUCUUUAAAUAAGGACUAGUAUGAACGGCACCACGAAGACCAUGCUGUCUCCUUUCUCUAAUCAGUGAAACUGAUCUCCCCGUGAAGAAGCGGGGAUUAUUAUAUAAGACGAGAAGACCCUAUGAAGCUUAAAAUUUACAUCAACUGCCACCCACACACCACCUCAACCUGACAGACCUGAUUAUUAAUUUUUGGUUGGGGUGACCGCGGAGCAAAAUUAAACCUCCACAAUGAAAGGACUAAACCUCCUUAUUCAAGAAUUACACCUCUAAAAAUCAAUAUAUUGACAUAAAUUGAUCCAAACCUUUGAUCAAUGAACCAAGUUACUCUAGGGAUAACAGCGCAAUCCAUUUCAAGAGCCCCUAUCGACAAAUGGGUUUACGACCUCGAUGUUGGAUCAGGGUAUCCUAGUGGUGCAACCGCUACUAAAGGUUCGUUUGUUCAACGAUUAAAACCCUACGUGAUCUGAUUUCAAACCGGA
rnacentral:rRNA from 1 species